rnacentral:rRNA from 1 species
UACGGAGGGUGCAAGCGUUGUCCGGAUUUAUUGGGUUUAAAGGGUGCGUAGGCGGCCGUUUAAGUCCGGGGUGAAAGCCCGUUGCUCAACAACGGAACUGCCCUGGAAACUGGAUGGCUUGAGUACAGACGAGGGUGGCGGAAUGGAUGGUGUAGCGGUGAAAUGCAUAGAUACCAUCCAGAACCCCGAUUGCGAAGGCAGCUGCCUAGACUGUAACUGACGCUGAGGCACGAAAGCGUGGGGAGCGAACAGG